UUCGAGUUGACCUGUCUUUGCUCUAACUCCUAAAUAUUACGUGCUUGGCAGAAUAAGCUACAAAUACCAAGUUUCAAGUGAUUGGUUUGAUGCAAACUUACCAACGGCAUAUCAAACUCAUUUAGAGCAUUUUAUCACGAGACCUCCGUGGCUGUUUUAUUAUUUAUGUUGGAUUGGUACUCGAAUGAUUCUUUCAUGAAAUUCAAUGAUGUUGGGUGUGGUGUUGGUGACUUCAUAAAUAGUACAGUACUUAUUCUGAACGGGAUGCCAUAUUGUAACCGUUAAACCCAAUUAAUUCAUUACGUUUGUUUGUGAAUCCGGUUAAAUAUCAAAAUGGUCAUAAAUUG
rnacentral:lncRNA from 1 species